ACAGUACUUUAAACAGCUCUGUGAAAUGCAGUUACUUCAAUUCCUGCUUUURUCAUUUCCUAGGACAUUAGAAAGAUCUGGAGCCCCAAAGGUUGGAUUAAGAUCUUCACUUCUUCAACAGCUGAGGUAAUCAGGGUGACAUUACUGCCGGCACAAAAAUGACAUCUCGUCAUCAGAAAUUUUCUUCAUUGGCACCGAAAAUGCCAGGCACAUCACCUCUGACUGUGUGGCCACCACAUCUAUGAACCUUAUUGAUUUGGAGUCAUGCUGUGCCACACUGGAAAACUGCUCCCUGCUGAAAGACUCAAGUGGAUCAAUCCUGAACCAUGAACAGAAACUCAAUAACAAAAUGUAGUAGGCACCUUUUCCCAUUAAGUAUUCCUCAAAGUAAAUUACAUUAGAGAACAUCACCAUGAGGAACUUCCCUUGGGAUCUGUGGCCUUCCAGAAACUAACACAGAGAAACAGCAAAACAGGAAGGAAAAGAUGUGUAUAUUGCCAAAGACAAGCACAGUCGAGCAAUUGUGUAGAUGAGUCCUAAGGGCAAAAAGAAAGGAGAGCCGGUGGCAGAAAGAAAAGAUUGCACAACCUUGUCAGAAGUGCAUCUGUUUUUGUCAUCUUUCCUAACGAAAAAUAACUUAAUAUUGGUGAAAGAAGUGUCGUGAAGACCAAAGAAAGUGUAGUCUACCUAGAAACAGCUUAUGAUACUACCCAUAUAAGUAGUCAAGAAAAAAUGUUAACUGAGGACAUAAUUAAGUAAGUGGAGUUAUGUAAAAGGACUGGGGAGAAACAAAAAGAUCUCUGUGAAUUUUAAGUCAUUUUGGCCUGGCAAACAAAAGAAUCCGGAGGAGGCUGAUAAAUUGUACCUCAAAGACAAAAUCCUGAUUACAUCAAGGUCAAGGUGAAGGGUGCAACUGUGUCUUGCAGAAGCACAAAGGGCAUGUGUUGGACUGAAGGACUUCAGCCUGUGUCAUAUGAAUCCCGAUGCAGGCACUGCAUCUAAGUAGAGCCUGAGAAAAUGCAGUGACUUUACACCGCUCUUACUGGCAUACACUUCUCU
rnacentral:lncRNA from 1 species